rnacentral:rRNA from 1 species
UACGGAGGGUGCGAGCGUUGUCCGGAAUCACUGGGCGUAAAGGGCGCGUAGGUGGCGCGGAGAGUCAACGGUGAAAGCUCGGGGCUCAACCCCGAGUCGGCCGUCGAUACUUCCGGGCUGGAGCACUGUAGAGGCAGGUGGAAUUCCGGGUGUAGCGGUGGAAUGCGUAGAGAUCCGGAAGAACACCGGUGGCGAAGGCGGCCUGCUGGGCAGUUGCUGACACUGAGGCGCGACAGCGUGGGGAGCAAACAGG